UAAGGAAUAUUGGACAAUGGAGGCAACUCUGAUCCAGCCAUGCCGCGUGAAGGAAUAAGGCCCUAUGGGUUGUAAACUUCUUUUAGACGGGACAAAACCCCUUUACGUGUAACGGGUUGAUGGUACUGUCAGAAUAAGCAUCGGCUAACUUCGUGCCAGCAGCCGCGGUAAUAGGAAGAAUGCAAGAGUUAUCCGGAAUUACUGGGCGUAAAGCGUGCGCAGGCGGUUCGGAAAGAAAGGUGUGAAAUCCCAGCGCUUAACCUUGGAACUGCACUUGUAACUGCCGUGCUAUAGUACGUCAGAGGGGGGUAGAAUUCCACGUGUAGCAGUGAAAUGCGUAGAGAUGUGGAGGAAUACCGAUGGCGAAGGCAGCCCCCUGGGAUGAUACUGACGCUCAUGCACGAAAGCGU
rnacentral:rRNA from 1 species